GGUCUGAUGGUCUAGUGGUAGGAUUCUCGCUUUGGGUCAUAACGUCGUCGGGUUUGUCGAUGGAAACACUGCGAGAGGUCCCGGGUUCAAUCCCCGGUCAGACCC